UUAAUUUAAGGUAUAGCCUGCUCUAUGAAAAUUUUUAAAUGGCCGCGGUAUUUUGACCGUGCGAAGGUAGCAUAAUCAUUAGUCUCUUGAUUGGGGGCUGGUAUGAAUGGCUGGACGAGAAAAUUUCUGUCUCUGUUAUAAAAUUUGAAUUUUAUUUUUAAGUGAAAAAGCUUAAAUUUUUUUUGAGGGACGAUAAGACCCUUUGGAUCUUUAUAAUAACGAGUAAUAAAAAGGUUGGGUGUGACAGCUUAUUAUUUUAAAUUAUUGGGUUGGGGCGACCAGAAGAAAAAAAUAUCUCUUCUUAAAUAAUAUACUUAUUAGUAGGCUUAGGAUGACCCUGAAUUUUGGUUUAAAAGACUAAGUUACCCUAGGGAUAACAGCGUAAUCUUUUUGGAGAGUUCAUAUCGAUGAAAAGGUUUGCGACCUCGAUGUUGGAUUAAGAUAUCCUUAUGGCGUAGCCGUUAUAAAGGAGAGUCUGUUCGACUCUUAAAUUCUUACG
rnacentral:rRNA from 1 species